UGGGGAAUAUUGGACAAUGGGCGAAAGCCUGAUCCAGCAACGCCGCGUGAGGGAUGACGGCCUUCGGGUUGUAAACCUCUUUCAGCGGGGACGAAGCGCAAGUGACGGUACCCGCAGAAGAAGCACCGGCCAACUACGUGCCAGCAGCCGCGGUAAUACGUAGGGUGCGAGCGUUGUCCGGAAUUAUUGGGCGUAAAGGGCUCGUAGGCGGUUUGUCGCGUCGGGAGUGAAAACCAGGUGCUUAACACCUGGCCUGCUUCCGAUACGGGCAGACUAGAGGUAUGCAGGGGAGAACGGAAUUCCUGGUGUAGCGGUGAAAUGCGCAGAUAUCAGGAGGAACACCGGUGGCGAAGGCGGUUCUCUGGGCAUUACCUGACGCUGAGGAGCGAAAGUGUGGGGAGCGAACA
rnacentral:rRNA from 1 species